GUGGGGGAUAUUGCACAAUGGAGGAAACUCUGAUGCAGCGACGCCGCGUGAGUGAAGAAGUAUUUCGGUAUGUAAAGCUCUAUCAGCAGGGAAGAUAAUGACAGUACCUGACUAAGAAGCCCCGGCUAACUACGUGCCAGCAGCCGCGGUAAUACGUAGGAGGCAAGCGUUAUCCGGAUUUACUGGGUGUAAAGGGAGCGUAGACGGAAUGGCAAGUCUGAAGUGAAAUCCUGCGGCUUAACUGCAGAAUUGCUUUGGAAACUGUCAAUCUGGAGUGUUGGAGAGGUAAGCGGAAUUCCUGGUGUAGCGGUGAAAUGCGUAGAUAUCAGGAAGAACACCGGAGGCGAAGGCGGCUUACUGGACAAUAACUGACGUUGAGGCUCGAAAGCGUGGGAAGCAAACAGGAUUAGAUACCCUUGUAGUCC
rnacentral:rRNA from 1 species